AGUAACGUUAAAGGGUCGAAGAGGCUGAAGUUGGCUUCCGAUUCACAGCGUCCGAUUCAGCAGGGAAGCAUCAUUUACAAUGCUGAGUGACUGAUGCUCCGUUUCUUUGAACCUCUGACUGUAUUGAGAAUAAAUCCAGGGCAUGUUGAUCUUGAUUCGUAAUACAGGCCUCUGGUCCAGAUCCAAAACUUAGACUUGGUCAGUCACGUUCUCAUAUACAGGCGGCUGCCGUCUUGGGAGCUU